CCUGGCGACGCGGAAGCUCCGCAACACGCUGUCGGUCAGCUUCAUGGCGGCGGGUGGGGAAGGCAGCCGGGACUGGCAGCGGGCGGGCUGCUGAGGGGCCAACCCCUGGUGGCGGCGGUGUUGAGCCGGUGGCUAGCGAGAAGUCGGCCGGCAGUGGGGCCGCCUCCUUUUCUUCCUCCUGCUUGGACGACUGUCUUCCGCCUCAACUGUGGAGCCUCGCCGACCGUUAGUCCUCACAGACACCUCAGGGGCAACCGACGCAGCGCCACCUCAUCGUGUCCGCCAUCUUGGGGCGACGGCCAGAAGUCCAGGGCUAGGAGCCUCAGCCGGCGGACGCCAGGAAACAGGUCUAGGUUAAUAGCAGGUAAUUGUGACAAGUCCAGUGUGGGUUACUGGUCAUGAAGAAUCCAUUGUUGAUGACAUCCCAGAAGAGAACACUAAGUCUUAGCUUUCAUCUUACCCCUGAACUUCCCUUCCUCUGAAGCACUCAUUAGGUGAAUAAACAAUAUUCCCUAUACCUAUAGAGUGGAAUACCACCCAGCAUCCUCUCACAUACAAAGAAAGAACAAAUUGCUGAUAGACACAGAUGUCCAUCAAUCUCAAAAGUCGUCAUGAAACCUCUGGAAGAAUUGAGCUGGUCGACUAUGCAAACAGUUGUCAAGAGCCUAUAAAAUAUGCAGCAUAAAAUUUUUCCUUUGUAGUCAAACCUGAUUAUUCCUCUUAGAUACUGGGAACAGAAUUUCACAGUCGUCAGAGAAUAUACCUUUUGUAUUUUCGUAUUAAAUAUGUACUCCUAUUACUUAACAAUUGUAGUUUAACUCCUUUUUUAGGUAAAAUUCUAAUUUUUCUCUUCUGUUAAAAAUUUCCAGUUCCAACACGAAGAUAAUAAAGAAUAUUAAUUUUAUCCUUAUUAACUUGAAGGAAGUAAUAUUUAUUUUUGUAUUUCUGUACUUAAGUAUAUCACAAAUACAGAUUUCUGUAGUUGGAGAAUUAAUAUAAAGUAACAUAGUAUUCAAUAAGAAGGGAUUUUUCUUUAUUAAAAAGAGGUCUGAAUUAUAAACUAAAUAUCUGUGUAACUUUGAACAAUUUAUUUAACUUUUUGAAGAUAUUUGAAACUUAUUUCUAAAAUGAGAAAAAUACCUAUCAUGAGGAGCUUUUGUAAAUACUAAAUGAGAUAUAACAUGUAAAGCAGUUAACAAAAUUCUAGGCAUGGUAUGGGUAUUUAAAUAAAUGGAAAGUAUUCUUAAGUUUUAUAGUAAUAGUUUUACAAAUUUUAUAUGUAAUUCUGAUGAUUAAUGGUUAUUUUAAUAUCUUUUCUACUGUAUAUGCUAGGGAGUAUUUUGGAGUAUCAAAUUUAAAUAUUAGUAAAGCAUGAAAAUUUGAUUUAGUAAUAAGUAGACAAAGCAGAAAAAUGCACUAAAUCUUAUUUCUUAUGCAAAUUGGGACAAUAAAAUAUGGGAGCAAGAAAUAAGGCUGAAGUAUGUAUAUGAGCAGAAUAAAAUAAAUUACUGCAAAAUGUAAA
rnacentral:lncRNA from 1 species